UACGUAGGGUGCGAGCGUUAAUCGGAAUUACUGGGCGUAAAGUGUGCGCAGGCGGCAGAGCAAGUCGAGUGUGAAAGCCCCGGGCUUAACUUGGGAAUUGCGCUCGAAACUACUUUGCUGGAGUGUGGCAGAGGAAGGUGGAAUUCCACGUGUAGCGGUGAAAUGCGUAGAGAUGUGGAGGAACACCAAUGGCGAAGGCAGCCUUAUGGGCCAACACUGACGCUCAUGCACGAAAGCGUGGGGAGCAAACAGG
rnacentral:rRNA from 1 species